UUUGUAGAUGUCCUGMAUGUCAUCACAGUCCUGAUACCAGAACGAGGAUCUGGCAGAGUGCAGAUGCCAGAGGUGAAUGGGGUGCCUGAAAUGAGAUGGAAGAAGAUGCGUCCACCCCUCGAGGAUGGCUC